AUGUCUUCCUCCUCCGGCGCAUCUCACCCUAACCUCAAUGGGCAGGUCAUUGAGAAACUCUCCCGCACGAACUACAUGCUAUGGCGCACACAAAUCACGCCGCAGUUGCGUGGCGCCGGUGUCUUCAACUAUGUUGACGGCACCUCGCCGGAGCCGGCCAAGCUUCUCGCCGCCAAGGACAAGGACGGCAAGGAGACUUUCGAGCCCAACCCUCUCCACCCAAUUUGGGUCAAGGAGGACCAGCAGGUGCUCGGUUAUCUGCUGAGCAACCUCUCCAAAGAGGUUCUCGUCACGGUGACCACGGUCACCACGGCGCAGGCGCUCUAG
rnacentral:rRNA from 1 species